GAUGACGUCAUUCACAUGCAGCUGCGAUCGUAUCUUUCGCGCCGAAAGAUAACGGCUGGGACUAAGUAAAAAGUAGUAAAAAUGGAGACAUAGCGAAACGCUGAUGUCUCCAUUUUUACUUCUUUUUACUACUUGAAUGGACUGAGGGUGAUGAUAGUGGGGCGCAUAGUAUUUUGGCGAUUGACUGUGUCCGGAACUUUUCAGUUCAAGAUUUUUUUGCCUCGACUGAACAAAACGAGAAGCUGGUGGAAUGGCGAAACGGCCGCCAACCCUGGCCGGUUCACCCAGCCAAAUUGACGUGGCAAUAAAAAGGGAGGGUCUUCCAAAAACAAGCACCAGGAGGGUGAGAAGCAGGAGGAGGGUCAUGACAGACUUUCAAAGAACAAGGUUGUCGUGAAAAAGAAAAAUGUUUCUAAAUACGAGACAGGAGGAGGAGGAGAAAGUGGAUGAUGAGGCGCGUCAUGACACAAAGAACAAGGUGGGAAGCCAACCAGAGGGGACGGGGAGCAGCUGGUUGCCCUGGACAAAAUUAAAAAGGCAGCCAUUAUUGGUGAGUAAAUGCAUAAAGUGUUGAGAAGGGAAAACAAAACUUUUAAGACUUUAUAAGUUCACCACUUUAACCAUAGCCUACUUGUAUCAAUGUAUAUUAGGCAUCAAUGGAGACUGGAUAAGGUAGGGCACCCAUUAUUGUUACUGUAUCUGCUUAGCACCUAUAAUACUAAUUCAUUGCUUGCUCACUUUUUGAUCCCACCUUUCCUUUUCUAAAGCCACAUUUCUGGGGUAUUGCCCUCAAUGUGCUGUAAGAUGCUACAUUGAAGAAAUGGCCGGCAGCCAGCCGAGGGCAGAUAGGAACAGCUAUAAAUUCCAAGCUCGCAGAGAUGCGAAGAUCCAUGAAAUGUUUUUUUUUUGUUGUUGUCAUUUUUGUACAUUUUGAUAGUCCUUAAAUAAAUAAUGUAAAUUUCCACAUUUUGGGCUUUUAUUUUUGUUUCCUAGUUUGGAUUUUAAUAAUUUUACUUAUAGGUGGACAUAUGUGCAUAUAUGUACCUAUAUAGGUACAUUUAUGCAUGUAUAUAUAUGUGUACAUG